GACGAACGCUGGCGGCGUGCUUAACACAUGCAAGUCGAACGAAGUGGCGAACGGGUGAGUAACGCGUAAUCAACCUGCCCUUCAGUGGGGGACAACAGUUGGAAACGACUGCUCAUACCGCAUACUGAAGGAGGGGAUUGCGUGUGAUUAGCUAGUUGGAGGGGUAACGGCCCACCAAGGCGAAGAUAAGUAGCCGGUCUGAGAGGAUGAACGGCCAAACUGGGACUGAGACACGGCCCAGACGCCUACGGGAGGCAGCAGUGGGGAAGCUUCCGCAAUGGGGGGAAGUCUGACGGAGCAACGCCGCGUGAGUGAUGAAGGCCUUCGGGUUGUAAAGCUCUGUUAAUCGGGACGCGGUACCGGAAUAGAAAGCCACGGCUAACUACGUGCCAGCAGCCGCGGUAAUUC
rnacentral:rRNA from 1 species